AGUUUGAUCCUGGCUCAGAUUGAACGCUGGCGGAAUGCUUUACACAUGCAAGUCGAACGGUAGAGGGGGCAACCCUUGAGAGUGGCGAACGGGUGAGUAAUAUAUCGGAACGUGCCCAGUCGUGGGGGAUAACGUAGCGAAAGUUACGCUAAUACCGCAUACGAUCUACGGAUGAAAGCGGGGGAUCGCAAGACCUCGCGCGAUUGGAGCGGCCGAUAUCAGAUUAGGUAGUUGGUGAGGUAAAGGCUCACCAAGCCGACGAUCUGUAGCUGGUCUGAGAGGACGACCAGCCACACUGGGACUGAGACACGGCCCAGACUCCUACGGGAGGCAGCAGUGGGGAAUUUUGGACAAUGGGCGCAAGCCUGAUCCAGCAAUGCCGCGUGCAGGAUGAAGGCCUUCGGGUUGUAAACUGCUUUGUACGGAACGAAACGGUGAGCUCUAAUACAGUUUGCUAAUGACGGUACCGUAAGAAUAAGCACCGGCUAACUACGUG
rnacentral:rRNA from 1 species